GAAAUAGUGGCUGAGAAAAAGUAAUAAAUUGUAAAUUUAUAAAUGGGGUUAAGAACUUCCUAUUUCA
rnacentral:tRNA from 1 species